ensembl:lncRNA
UGCUGAUAUUCCAAGGCAGUCAGCAGCCUCACAGUGGACUGGAGAGGGGUGGACUACAUGAAGAUUGGGGCUCACUCAGGACUGGCCUGUUCAAGUAGGGAGGCAGGACCGGGGCUGAGACCACCUUACACUGCUCAGCCCCCCCGCCCCCCACCCACCCAUCACACCCCCCACCAGCACCCCUCCUCCACUCCCGACACACUCUCUCUCCCUUGUCCUGUGCCUGUCUCUCUCCAUUCUACCAAGCAGCCAGCCAGACCUCCUCUCUCUUCUUCUGCCCUGUCGACAUCCCUCGCCUUUCCACGCCUUUCUCCCUCAGCCUCCUCAGCCGUGGCCGUCUGCCCUCGCCGCCUCAGACUUGGACCGUCAAUCUAUCUACAACAAGUUCCCUGGGACUUUUUCAGAAACUUUUUCCUCAAUUACUUUUUUCUUUUUUUGCUACCUCCCUUGAGACUCCAGUGCGGGUUGUGCUGUGUGUGAUAGGGGAUAGUGUUGCUCUUCGCCCUCGGGGUCUCUGUACGCUGUUGACCGGAGGAGAAGACUACUUGUCACCAUGAUCAAAGUUCAGCUGCUGCUCUUGCUGGGCCUGGUCGGCCCCUUCUGUGCCGUCGCACACGCAAGCACACUGGUGACCCCAUUAGAAAGGGUGUCGGAUAUCCCUGCUGCCACCGAUAUCCUCGAAGGCGCCACCGAUGCCCCCACGGCUGAACCCAAGACUGCGACCGAUGAGGUCGGAACGAAAGCCCCUGCCACCGAUAAACCCGUCACUACUCAGGUCGAUGAGGCUGCCCCGAAUGUGACAGAGGCCGCUCCCACGGAGACCGAGGCCACUGAGGCUGCCGGGCAGGAGGCGGCCACAACGGAGGCCCCUGCUGUUGCCACCAUGGCCCCGGCGAACCCCGAAGCCACGGCAGAGGCUGAGGAGGAGGAGUUGGUGGUGGAGGAGGAGGGCACUGGCUCUGGACAAGUGGUGGGUAUUGUGAUUGGCGCAUUGGUGGCAGUGAUCAUUGUCAUCGCCGUGGUGAUCGCCUUGGUGAGGAGAAUGGGCAAAUACUCCCCCUGAGGAGAAAGGCUGCAAGACAGGAAGUCCCAAAAAAGUUCUGGCAAUUCUGAACUACGUAAUUUCCUGUCAUUAAGCAAGCAUGCUACCAGCACGAACCUAACCAAGAUCUUGUACUGUUGCCAAAAGGAGGGGGAGGUGUGGGGGGGAGAAGAAUGUUUCUCCCCCAACCCCCAGACAGAGCCAUUGAUAUCAAUGGUCCUGCCCAACCACACAGCAACCCUCCACGCUAAUAUCCAAACAGGGGGAUGACCCACCCCCCCACUGACAUCCACAGUGACCCACAGGAUGCCAGUGAAUUUCAGGAUUUUUCAUAUGUGUUUGUAAAAAGAAAGGAAGUAAGGGAUUAUUUAACUUGUGGUAGAAAACGCUCUCUCUUAUGCAGUGGUGUGUACAUUCAUUCCAAUUUGCAUUUGAGUUGAAGACGACCUAGAAAUACGACACAAAAGAAACAGAAAAUGAAAAUAAAAAGUUGAAUACAGAGGGGGGAAAAGGCGGAAGAGAAUGUGGUGAAUUUAAUAGGGUGUAUAUACCAUGCAAAGGGACUACAGUUAUUACUUGAUUAUAUGUUGCAGUUGCUCACUAUAGCAUUCAGUUAAUGGGACAUUGGAAAGCAGCCAAAAACAUCCACAUGGUAUUUUCUCACCUUAACACCUAGCCAAUGGGUCCCUACCUACCAAAAUGUUCAACAACUAUAUGAAGCACUGUAUGCAGAAGUUGUUUCGACAUUGUGCUCAUGUUCUGAGGGUUAGCGAGGGGCUAAUGAAAAGACGCCUCAUUUGCAAGUGUAACGUGACAUUCUGCCAGCUUUAACACUGACAUAAAAACCUAAUACAGAUCUGUGAAAUUUUGCAGAAGGUUUUGUGCCACUGUCUCUGGUAUUCCCUGGAUAGUUUGGAGAUUUUACUUUUAAAGUGCAGUAAUGUGAAUGGACUGUACUUUAACUGUCACCCAUUCCAAUAGGACAGCUUUGACGACUUCAGGUUCUCACAAAAUCAUGUGUUCCGUAUACAGGUAGAAGUCAUCAGCCCCCAUUCUGCUAGCAUUGUCCUUUACAAUGUAUUCACUGUACUUCUGCUUACUUUAGUUUGGAUAGAGUAUACCAAGCAAGCACACACAAUCUUUAAAUACAGGUUCCCCCCUGAAUGCAUGCAAAGGAUGUUUUGACUUUCAUGGUUGCACCCAGUUUUAGGCACAUUUUCUUCAUAAUCGUUAGUGGACAUUAAUGGGUGUAAAAAUUAUUCAGUCUCAGCUUAGCUCCGCUUGCUUUAAGAACUCUGUUAAUAAGUGCACUGAAUGAGGGAUGACAAUUGUUUAAUGGAUCCGCUUUAGACACUGCAAUCGUUUGCAACGAUGUUUGUUUCUGCUUUUGCUCCAUAUUAUCAAAUCUAGGUCUUUCAUUUUAUUGUCAGAUUUUUUUUGUCCUUUUAUUUAAUUGCAGUGUUUUUGUUCAUACUGUUUCAAUAAACAACUGAAAACACUCCAAAUAUA